UCCUCGUUAGUCUAGAUGGUCAGGAUACCAGGUUUUCACCCUGGCGACCCGGGUUCGAUUCCCGGACGAGGAA
rnacentral:tRNA from 1 species